GAUGAACGCUGGCGGCGUGCCUAAUACAUGCAAGUCGAGCGAACAGACGAGGAGCUUGCUCCUCUGACGUUAGCGGCGGACGGGUGAGUAACACGUGGAUAACCUACCUAUAAGACUGGGAUAACUUCGGGAAACCGGAGCUAAUACCGGAUAAUAUAUUGAACCGCAUGGUUCAAUAGUGAAAGACGGUUUUGCUGUCACUUAUAGAUGGAUCCGCGCCGCAUUAGCUAGUUGGUAAGGUAACGGCUUACCAAGGCAACGAUGCGUAGCCGACCGAGGGGGGGGAUCGGCCACACUGGAACUGAGCCACGGUCCAGCCUCCUCCGGGAGGCAGCAGUAGGAAAUCUGCCGCAAUGGGCGAAAGCUUGACGGAGCAACGCGGCGUGAGUGAUGAAGGUCUUCGGAUCGUAAAACUCUGUUAUUAGGGAAGAAAAAAUGUGUAAGUAACCAUGCACGUCUUGACGGUACCUAUCAGAAAGCCACGGCUAACUACGUG
rnacentral:rRNA from 1 species